AGGUUUGGAAAGACCCACCACAGAAGGUAAUAGUCCUGUAUGUUAAACGAGAAGACUUCAGAUAUGAUCCAGAGUACCACGGGACACGUGAAACCCUGUGGGAAGCAGGAGGGACCACCCUCCAAGGCUAAAUACUACCUAGUGACCGAUAGCGUAUAGUACCGUGAGGGAAAGGUGAAAAGAACCCCGGGAGGGGAGUGAAAUAGAACCUGAAACCCUGCACUUACAAGCUGUGGAAGCACAUUUCUUGUGUGACCGCGUACUUUUUGUAGAACGGGCCAACGAGUUACGUUAAGUAG
rnacentral:rRNA from 1 species